rnacentral:rRNA from 1 species
CCUACGGGAGGCAGCAGUAGGGAAUCUUCCGCAAUGGACGAAAGUCUGACGGAGCAACGCCGCGUGAACGAUGAAGGCCUUCGGGUCGUAAAGUUCUGUUGUUAGGGAAGAACAAGUGCUAGUUAAAUAAGCUGGCACCUUGACGGUACCUAACCAGAAAGCCACGGCUAACUACGUGCCAGCAGCCGCGGUAACACGUAGGGGACGAGCGUUGUCCGGAUUCAUUGGGCGUAAAGCGCGCGCAGGCGGUUUCUUAAGUCUGAUGUGAAAGCCCACGGCUCAACCGUGGAGGGUCAUUGGAAACUGGGGAACUUGAGUGCAGAAGAGAAAAGCGGAAUUCCACGUGUAGCGGUGAAAUGCGUAGAGAUGUGGAGGAACACCAGUGGCGAAGGCGACUUUCUGGUCUGUAACUGACACUGAGGCGCGAAAGCGUGGGGAGCAAACAGGAUUAGAUACCCUGGUAGUCCACGCCGUAAACGAUGAGUGCUAAGUGUUAGAGGGUUUCCGCCCUUUAGUGCUGCAGCUAACGCAUUAAGCACUCCGCCUGGGGAGUACGGCCGCAAGGCUGAAACUCAAAGGAAUUGACGG